rnacentral:rRNA from 1 species
ACACUCCUGCGGGAGGCAGCAGUGGGGAAUUUUGGACAAUGGGCGAAAGCCUGAUCCAGCCAUGCCGCGUGCAGGAUGAAGGCCUUCGGGUUGUAAACUGCUUUUGUACGGAACGAAACGGCCUUUUCUAAUAAAGAGGGCUAAUGACGGUACCGCAAGAAUAAGCACCGGCUAACUACGUGCCAGCAGCCGCGGUAAUACGUAGGGUGCAAGCGUUAAUCGGAAUUACUGGGCGUAAAGCGUGCGCAGGCGGUUAUGUAAGACAGUUGUGAAAUCCCCGGGCUCAACCUGGGAACUGCAUCUGUGACUGCAUAGCUAGAGUACGGUAGAGGGGGAUGGAAUUCCGCGUGUAGCAGUGAAAUGCGUAGAUAUGCGGAGGAACACCGAUGGCGAAGGCAAUCCCCUGGACCUGUACUGACGCUCAUGCACGAAAGCGUGGGGAGCAAACAGGAUUAGAUACCCGGGUAGUCCCAUGAU